rnacentral:rRNA from 1 species
GUGGGGAAUAUUGGACAAUGGGCGAAAGCCUGAUCCAGCCAUGCCGCGUGCAGGAUGAAGGCCUUCGGGUUGUAAACUGCUUUUGUACGGAACGAAAAGACUCUGGUUAAUACCUGGGGUCCAUGACGGUACCGUAAGAAUAAGCACCGGCUAACUACGUGCCAGCAGCCGCGGUAAUACGUAGGGUGCAAGCGUUAAUCGGAAUUACUGGGCGUAAAGCGUGCGCAGGCGGUUAUAUAAGACAGAUGUGAAAUCCCCGGGCUCAACCUGGGAACUGCAUUUGUGACUGUAUAGCUAGAGUACGGCAGAGGGGGAUGGAAUUCCGCGUGUAGCAGUGAAAUGCGUAGAUAUGCGGAGGAACACCGAUGGCGAAGGCAAUCCCCUGGGCCUGUACUGACGCUCAUGCACGAAAGCGUGGGGAGCAAACAGGAUUAGAAACCCUGGUAGUCC